AGAAAUCUGACCUUACAGUUGUUUCUUGUGGGGACAGUAGAAGCUUCUUUGAGCCAGAAAAAAGGAAGCAGGAAAGGGCACUGUACAUGUGUUCCCUCUCCUGGAGCCCUGAUGUGGCUGCUGCUGUUCCCUCUAAUGCAUAGCCAGAAAGGAUGAGAAGCCGUGCACAGAUUGCACAGAGCUAAUGAAGGUGUGGAGUGGGAGGAGAGAUGACAAGACCAUAUGGGCUUAUUUACUACUCACAGAGGAGUUCAAGCAUUUCUGUGCCUGCUCUAAGUAUUGUGGAAUGUUGCUAGCAAUUAUAGGUUCAUUGGUGCCCUUCUCUGAUUUUUGGAAAACAAAGGGCUGGAUGAGAAGAGCUGGUCAAAACAUGAGGAUUAUGACUAAGGACAGUCAGCAUGAUUGUACCAUAUUUUCAUUUCCCCUGUACAAAGGACAGAGAACUUUGUUCUGUGAUCUGUCUCUGCACAAAAUACUUAUAGCAUAUAGUAAAUUUGUUGAUUGGCAUA